AGUGAACGCUGGCGGUAGGCCUAACACAUGCAAGUCGAACGGCAGCACAGUAAGAGCUUGCUCUUACGGGUGGCGAGUGGCGGACGGUUGAGGAAUACAUCGGAAUCUACUUUUUCGUGGGGGAUAACGUAGGGAAACUUACGCUAAUACCGCAUACGACCUACGGGUGAAAGCAGGGGAUCUUCGGACCUUGCGCGAUUGAAUGAGCCGAUGUCGGAUUAGCUAGUUGGCGGGGUAAAGGCCCACCAAGGCGACGAUCCGUAGCUGGUCUGAGAGGAUGAUCAGCCACACUGGAAGUGAGACACGGUCCAGACUCCUACGGGAGGCAGCAGUGGGGAAUAUUGGACAAUGGGGGCAAGCCUGAUCCAGCCAUACCGCGUGGGUGAAGAAGGCCUUCGGGUUGUAAAGCCCUUUUGUUGGGAAAGAAAAGCAGCAGGUUAAUACCCCGCUGUUCUGACGGUACCCAAAGAAUAAGCACCGGCUAACUUCGUG
rnacentral:rRNA from 1 species